AUUGAACGCUGGCGGCAUGCUUUACACAUGCAAGUCGAACGGUAACAGGCCGCAAGGUGCUGACGAGUGGCGAACGGGUGAGUAAUGCAUCGGAACGUGCCCAGUCGUGGGGGAUAACGCAGCGAAAGCUGCGCUAAUACCGCAUACGAUCUAUGGAUGAAAGCGGGGGACCGUAAGGCCUCGCGCGAUUGGAGCGGCCGAUGUCAGAUUAGGUAGUUGGUGGGGUAAAGGCUCACCAAGCCAACGAGCUGUAGCUGGUCUGAGAGGACGACCAGCCAAACUGGGACUGAGACACGGCCCAGGCUCCGACGGGAGGCAGCAGUGGGGAAUUUUGGACAAUGGGCGCAAGCCUGAUCCAGCAAUGCCGCGUGCAGGAAGAAGGCCUUCGGGUUGUAAACUGCUUUUGUACGGAACGAAACGGUCCUGGUUAAUACCCGGGGCUAAUGACGGUACCGUAAGAAUAAGCACCGGCUAACUACGUGCCAGCCGCCGCAGUAACAC
rnacentral:rRNA from 1 species